AACAGAACUCCCAAGCGUUACCCGGAUUUAUUGGGCGUAAAGCGUCUGUAGCCGGUUUGGCAAGUCGUAGGUUAAAUACCAAGAGCUCAACUUUUGGGAUGUCUGCGAAACUGCCAGACUAGAGGGCGUUAGGGGCUGAUGGAACGCACGGUGGAGGGGUGAAAUCCGUUGAUAUCGUGCGGAACACCAAAAGCGAAGGCAUUCAGCUGGGGCGACCCUGACGGUGAGGUGCGAAAGCGUGGGUAGCAAGCAGG
rnacentral:misc_RNA from 1 species